rnacentral:rRNA from 1 species
UACGAAGGGGGCGAGCGUUGUUCGGAAUCACUGGGCUUAAAGCGUGCGUAGGCGGGCAGGGAAGUCAGAAGUGAAAGCCCCGGGCUUAACCCGGGAAUUGCUUUUGAAACUCCCUGUCUAGAAACCGGAAGAGGUUAGCGGAAUAUCCAGUGUAGAGGUGAAAUUCGCAGAUAUUGGAUGGAACACCAGUGGCGAAGGCGGCUAACUGGUCCGGUAUUGACGCUGAGGCACGAAAGCAUGGGGAGCAAACAGG